UACGUAGGGUGCAAGCGUUAAUCGGAAUUACUGGGCGUAAAGCGUGCGCAGGCGGUUAUGUAAGACAGGUGUGAAAUCCCCGGGCUUAACCUGGGAACUGCAUUUGUGACUGCAUAGCUAGAGUACGGUAGAGGGGGAUGGAAUUCCGCGUGUAGCAGUGAAAUGCGUAGAUAUCGGGAGGAAUACCGAUGGCGAAGGCAGGUCUCUGGGCUGACACUGACGCUCAUGCACGAAAGCGUGGGGAGCAAACAGG
rnacentral:rRNA from 1 species